rnacentral:tmRNA from 1 species
GGGGCCGAUCGGUUUUGACAGCAGGUGGAAUUAAAAAGUAAGCACGUCGAGCGCUCAUUUACAGCUCGUAAAUCUCAUAAAUGAACUUUUUUUACACGGCGAAGAAAACUACGCUUUAGCUGCUUAAUUCUGAAUUAUAGUAAGAUCAAGCCUUUGUCCUGUUAGACAGGAAAGCUGAAUUCCUUAAAAAAGCCUUGAUUUAUGGCGUUUUGUAAUAAGGAACCGUAAAAUAAAUCUAGGCAGGUUAGCGUUUCGAACAUCUGUCGAAAUUUUAGAAACUAAGCAAAAAGCGGUUGUUUUUGACCAAACUUUUUGACGAAAAUGUAAUCAAAAACUAAACGUGUAGAAAGCUCUUUGAUUGCCUGUUUGGACCAGGGUUCGAUUCCCUGCGGCUCCACUG